AUUUGUCCCCUAAAUAGGGACUUGUAUGAAUGGCUAAAUGAGGUUCUAACUGUCUCAUUAGACCAAUCAAUGAAACUGAUCUUUCAGUACAAAAGCUGAAAUAAACCCAUAAGACGAGAAGACCCUGUGGAGCUUAAAAUAUAUACUAUAAACCACACCACUUUACUUUUUAGUUGGGGCGACUUUGGAAUAAAACAAAACUUCCAUGCCAGGUCCCUACCAAGGCCUACGCGCCAAAGUAACCACCUAUUGACCCAGCCACAUCUAGCUGAGCAACGAACCAAGUUACCCCAGGGAUAACAGCGCCAUCCUCUUCAAGAGUCCCUAUCGACAAGAGGGUUUACGACCUCGAUGUUGGAUCAGGACACCCCGGUGGUGCAACCGCUA
rnacentral:rRNA from 1 species